CCUGCCCCUAGAAGGGUUGCAGGUGUGGCAGCUGUGUCACAUGUGCAUCAGUAGUGGGAAGAGAGGAGAGAGGCUAUGUCUAUACUCAGUGUUCUGACCUGUGAACUACUGAAUGAUGAGUUGCCUAACAUU